rnacentral:rRNA from 1 species
ACGUGAAACCUUGUCUGAACGUGGGGGGACCACCCUCCAAGCCUAAGUACUCCUCGAUGACCGAUAGUGAACCAGUACCGUGAGGGAAAGGUGAAAAGCACCCCGACGAGGGGAGUGAAACAGACCCUGAAACUGGACGCCUACAAGCAGUCGGAGGGCGCAAGCCUGACGGCGUACCUUUUGUAUAAUGGGUCAGCGACUUAUAUUU